GUGAAUGCAAGCAAGGAGUCUUGAAGUACCUGCUGUGCCUUAAAGACAACAACGGCAGUGCGGAGCCCUGCAGACACCUUGCCAAGGAUUACCUGGAGUGUCGAAUGGACAGAAACUUGAUGGCCAAAGAGGAAUGGUCAAAGCUGGGCUUCAAAGAGACGCCAAAAGCUACGUCAAACUAAACCAUGGGUGAUGCAGAGGCAGCAGCGGCAGCUAUCAAGACUGAGGACAGCAGCAUCCCGCUUCCCAGCGAUGAAGAAGCCGAGAAAGUCCUGUCAUUUCAGGAAGCAAUGGCCAUUGCUGACAAAAAGAUCCAUGACCUGAUUAGCAAUGACCCGCUGCUCAACAACCUGCACCCCGAAGUGACCACCGAUGAGCUCAAGUCGUACCUGGCGCUGGAGCACGGCCAGGCCAUGUCCUUGGUGGUGCACAAAGCCGACGGCGACUACUACACUGUCGUUGUUGAGCAAAAGGCCACGGUGCUGGACCUGAAGAAUGCCAUACGGCGACAUGUCACCCUGCGCAUGGCACGUAAGGGAGUGAAGCGCAUCCUAAGCUGGAGGUACGUUUGGAAGACUUACUGGCUGUCCUUCGAUGGCGAGCUCCUAAAGGAGGACAAGGCGCUCCUGCGAGACUUCGGAAUUCGCAACAACUCCCAGCUCUCGUUUGUCAAGAGACUGCGGGAGAAAUAGGCACCGAACGAACUGUAGUCACUUGAAGAAGCGUAACCGCACCCGAGAUGCUUGCCGUGGUUAAGGCGACUUACAAAGACGACGCCCUGUCAAGUGCCCAGGUUUUCCGGUGGUUCAGCAAGUUAAAGAAGGGAUGGGAGACCGUUGAAGGCAUGGAGCGAUCUGGACACCCUAAUGAAUGGUUUAGACGAAAAUGUGGCCAAAGUGGGAAUAUCGCUGAGGACAAAGAAGAGUCACCUAAAGAUAUGACAGAGAAUUCGUGGAAACUUGGUCUCAAACAUUCACCUGCUUGUUCACAAGUAUGUACUCGUAUUUUUGAGCUUGCAGACCACACACAUCUCGCACAUGAAAGGAUGACACUUGGCAAGUACAAAAGUUGGGAAACUAGAUAUUUUAAGUUGAUAUUGUAGUUGGGCUUGAAAUCGUCGUACCAGGCGUCCACAUUAUCGUAAUGUCAUGACACUGAACUAUACAGAAAAACCUUAAUAUGUACCUGCUCAAUAAGUAAUUCCAGUUUAAAUGUAGUAGUCACGACAAAUUGCCUGCCCUGUCUACAUUGAACCUAAUGUAUUGGUUGACCGCUUAAACCGUAGGUGUAUGUCAAAUGGUUAGUGCAUAGUCUUACUUUAUUUUUUGGCACGCAUACAACAAGUGCAGAAUCGGCGAAAUGUCAUGCGCAGAGACCAUAUAUAGUGAAUUGCACGGACCUUUCCCGAACUUCAGUUGCCACAGCUAGUACCGUCAAAACAUGGUAGCCAUGACAUGUUCCCUGCUGCCAUAGCUUCCAGCGCUUCCACAUUGUCGUCACUGAUGACAACAUGGACAAUGACCCUUCCGUAUCCGACACGGCGUGUGUGAAUUGACUGUCGUAAGCAACGUUACUAGAUCCAACUGAGUUUCACAGCUCUGCAUAUUGGCCAGCGCAAGCAUCUAGCCCGCAUGGUGGUUGCAAGAACUGCUGUAGUCAAGUCCGGCUACUGGUUGGUCGGAUUGGCUGCUACUGCAACGGUGCGACUGCUUGUUAUUGCACACUUGUUCACUCGUCCGCAUCAAUUAAUUAUUCCACUGAAAAGCUGUACUGCCUUAAUAACUGUAGUCCACGGUUUUCACUAUGCGUGACAGCUUUGGAAGCCCAGUACGAAUCCUAAUGGUGAUGUGUACGCUUCGAUUUCAGUGGCUAUGCUAUACUGUGACGCUACUCCGACAUCAAUUCUGACUGGAUGUGUCUGCCAGAUAAGGCAGUUAAAUAAUCGUUUGUGUGGGAGGGGGGUAAAAUCAGGAUAGGUAAUGAGGGAAGAAGCAAGAAAAAAAUGCCGGACAGCGUGAAAAAGAUUAAAAUUUAUUGUUUAUCGGGCCAUCUGCAAAUGGAGAGCUCCCUUAAUCUUAUAUAAGCUAUGCAUUUUUUUUUAGAAAGUUAGUCAUAUUGCGUGCUAGCCCACCCCCAAACUUCACCCCCACCUCCAAAUUUCAAGUGGGCUCACCGCCAAAUUUACGUUGCUUCAUGGUCCACCCCCGAAUUUCAAGUUAGCCCACCCCUAAACUUCAAGUUGACCCAUAUCCCAAUUUCAAGUUAGCCCACCUAUAAGCUCUCCCAUGCAUUUUCUACGGAGCCCUAUGUAUCCCUAUGGGUAUUCUCUCUGAUAAAUUUUAUUUUAAAUUGUUCCUUAUUGCAUAUAAAGCUACCAAUUAUCUAUCUACAUUAAUAGUAUAAUGACUAAACGUCUUAAAUUUGCAAAUUCUGCAUUUUUCUGCAGAUACAAGACAUUUCACUUUUAGCAUAAUGGACCUGUGGUACUCGCCAAAAAAUGCUUACACAUUAAAAAUGACACUUAGCUGAUGACUUGUAGCAGCUUUUACAAGCCGCAGCAAAACACGUUGGCAUGUUGCACGCUCGACACAAGCCAGGCUUCACACUUCACAGACCAGCUCGAACUUCAAACGAACGUCUGCACGACGCAACAAAACAACCAUACGGGAUGUAGCCGCAGCGAAAAAGGCGUGUAACCCGAAGCACCGCCAGUAGUGUGACUCGAUCGCAGCGCCGUUAGUUCUCAUGACCACCACGGGGCUCGUGUUUUCAGUGGAGCUGUGAAACUAAGUCAAUUCUAGUAAUGCUGGUCACGAAGGUGUUUGCAGAGAAGUGGGGCCUGAUGGAGGAACUGGCUCGUGGCCUUGCUGAAUAUGAGGAUGCCAUCGUCACUGGAAGGCCGUCACGGUGGCAGGUGAUAAUCGGAGGUUUCUCUGCUGCCUACUUGCAAAGAAUUGUCUGCUUGUGUGUUUGACUGAGAAUUAGGACAUGUUUUUGGUCGGUUAGUCUAUAGCUGCUCAUCUGACAUUGUCCAUUAAUUAGUACAUCGCUUAGUGCGUACCUGAUUCACGGUCCGCGCCAACUGCUUGCUUGUAUUAACAAGAUUUUACUGUAUUUUGUGAUGUUGUGUAGCAAUAAGGCUAUGUAUGGCGACAUUGCUCACAAAAAAAAAAAAAGAGUGCUGUGCUUAUUCCUCCUGACUGUGCUCGCAUGUGGCAGCCGCAGCAGCAUGUCAUGACGUCAUGAUUAUUCCAUUUCUUGGGCACCAAAUUAGAAACUGGUUCAUUAGCA